AGGGAAUCUUCCGCAAUGGACGAAAGUCUGACGGAGCAACGCCGCGUGAGUGAAGAAGGCCUUCGGGUCGUAAAGCUCUGUUGCCAGGGAAGAACGUCUUGGAGAGUAACUGCUCUGAGAGUGACGGUACCUGAGAAGAAAGCCCCGGCUAACUACGUGCCAGCAGCCGCGGUACUACGUAGGGGGCGAGCGUUGUCCGGAAUUAUUGGGCGUAAAGCGCGCGCAGGCGGCUGUUUAAGUCUGGUGUUUAAUCCUGGGGCUCAACCCCGGGUCGCACUGGAAACUGGACAGCUUGAGUGAAGAAGAGGAGAGUGGAAUUCCACGUGUAGCGGUGAAAUGCGUAGAGAUGUGGAGGAACACCAGUGGCGAAGGCGACUCUCUGGGCUGUAACUGACGCUGAGGCGCGAAAGCGUGGGGAGCAAAC
rnacentral:rRNA from 1 species